AUCCAACUGACGAGUCCCAAUAAAUAGGACGAAACGCAAGUCGUGAAU
rnacentral:hammerhead_ribozyme from 1 species